rnacentral:tRNA from 2 species
AAAUAAGAAGCAAUUUCAUGCAUUUAAUUUCGACUUAAAAAGAAGAGUAAAAACUCCUUAUUUA